CAAAGAUUCUAACCCUAACUCUCAAUCGGGCCGGUCAAAAAAAAAACACACGCAGCCUUCUUUCUCCCCCCCCACGCCCAGCCGCCGCUCGCCUCCUCCCCAUCGAUCUCUCCCUCUCAGUCUCUGUCCCGAUGCCGCGACGGCCGAUGCGAGCAGGCGCGUGGCUGCGGGUGCCCUCCUCCUCCAUGCCCAUCCUUCGCGCUCCCUCCCCCUCGAGAUGCAAGGUCGGGGGACCCUGCACACUCCAAUCCACCCUUCUUCAUCCAUCUCCCUCCUUAGGGUUUCGCGAACUCCGACUUGUUCAGACGACCGACCUCUCCUCGCACCGUUGUCGGGCAUGGCGACCACGACCUUCCCCAACUCGAUCCCAUUCUUCGCGGCGCACAACCAGGGCCCCCGCCGGAGCCAGCCCUCCAUCUCCGCCGCGGUCUACGGCGGCCGCGGCCGCCGGUGGCGCCCGCUGCGGGUGGCGUGCGAUCGGCAAGCAGUUCGCAGCUGAGGAGAUCUCCGUGCAGGCUAGUGCCUUGAACAUAUAUGCUGAAAUGAAGUGCUAAUGCUGGUCCAGGACCGAUUCCAGAGGCUGCUUCUGCAUUGUGUUUGUGAGUGAUGGAGUAAGGUAGAAAGAGUCAAAUGUGUUUAAACUGAUUACAGAAAGUUCACAGCAGGGGCUGCGAUUGAGUGAUUAUGAGGAGCUAGCAGAGGCAACCACGGAGCUCACAGUACCUAUUUGUGGGUUUGCUAUGGUGCUAGUUAGCAAGUUGGUGGAUGAUUUGCCACUCGAAGCUGAUUUAGGUGCUAGUCUCUCUCUUUUGGAUAACCAGUUACAUGAGCUUCUUAUCUUAGUUCGGGUAGCAAGUAGGUUUACUUGGAGUAUGUUGGCGGGACAUGUAAUAUGAAAUUGGUAAUUAGCAAGCGACUAUUGUAUAUAAUUAGCAAGUGACAUGUAUAUAAGACCCUGGCAGAUCACCUUUGCCUCUUGUUGCUGCAAAUUCAUACUCAUCAUGUUUUGACUAGUUCCAUAUUAAGUGACAUUACAUAUAUAAUGUACUGGGUCGAUACAAGAAUCAAUGUAUGGAUAAUUUGAUCA